rnacentral:rRNA from 1 species
UACAGAGGGUGCGAGCGUUGUCCGGAUUUAUUGGGCGUAAAGAGCUCGUAGGCGGCUUGUCGCGUCGACUGUGAAAUCCCGCGGCUCAACUGCGGGUCUGCAGUCGAUACGGGCAGGCUAGAGUUCGGUAGGGGAGACUGGAAUUCCUGGUGUAGCGGUGAAAUGCGCAGAUAUCAGGAGGAACACCGAUGGCGAAGGCAGGUCUCUGGGCCGAUACUGACGUGAGGAGCGAAAGCGUGGGGAGCGAACAGG